rnacentral:rRNA from 1 species
ACUAAGCAUAUCAAUAAGCGGAGGAAAAGAAACCAACAGGGAUUGCCCCAGUAACGGCGAGUGAAGCGGCAACAGCUCAAAUUUGAAAUCUGGCCCCAGGCCCGAGUUGUAAUUUGCAGAGGAUGCUUUUGGCGCGGUGCCUUCCGAGUUCCCUGGAACGGGACGCCAUAGAGGGUGAGAGCCCCGUACGGUUGGACACCAAGCCUUUGUAAAGCUCCUUCGACGAGUCGAGUAGUUUGGGAAUGCUGCUCUAAAUGGGAGGUACAUUUCUUCUAAAGCUAAAUAUUGGCCAGAGACCGAUAGCGCACAAGUAGAGUGAUCGAAAGAUGAAAAGCACUUUGAAAAGAGGGUUAAACAGCACGUGAAAUUGUUAAAAGGGAAGCGCUUGUGACCAGACUUGCGUCCGGUGAAUCACCCAGCUCUCGCGGCUGGGGCACUUCGCCGGCACAGGCCAGCAUCAGCUUGCCGUCGGGGACAAAAGCUUCAGGAACGUGGCUCCUCUCGGGGAGUGUUAUAGCCUGUUGCAUAAUACCCUUCGGCGGGCUGAGGUACGCGCUCCGCAAGGAUGCUGGCGUAAUGGUCAUCAGCGACCCGUCUUGAAACACGGACCAAGGAGUCAACCUUAUGUGCGAGUGUUUGGGUGUCAAACCCCUACGCGUAAUGAAAGUGAACGCAGGUGAGAGCUUCGGCGCAUCAUCGACCGAUCCUGAUGUUCUCGGAUGGAUUUGAGUAAGAGCAUAUAGGGUUGGACCCGAAAGAAGGUGAACUAUGCGUGUGUAGGGUGAAGCCAGAGGAAACUCUGGUGGAGGCUCGCAGCGGUUCUGACGUGCAAAUCGAUCGUCAAACAUGCGCAUGGGGGCGAAAGACU